rnacentral:rRNA from 1 species
UCGAUGAUACGCGAGGAACCUUACCAGGCUUAAAUGUAGAUUGACAGGACUGAAACAGUUUUUUCUUCGGACAAUUUACAAGGUGCUGCAUGGUUGUCGUCAGCUCGUGCCGUGAGGUGUCAGGUUAAGUCCUAUAACGAGCGCAACCCCUGUCGUUAGUUGCCAGCGAGUCAUGUCGGGAACUCUAACGAGACUGCCAGUGUAAACUGUGAGGAAGGUGGGGAUGACGUCAAAUCAUCACGGCCCUUACGUCCUGGGCCACACACGUGCUACAAUGGUAGGUACAGAGAGCAGCCACUGCGCGAGCAGGAGCGAAUCUAUAAAACCUAUCUCAGUUCGGAUCGGAGUCUGCAACUCGACUCCGUGAAGCUGGAAUCGCUGGUAAUCGGAUAUCAGCCAUGAUCCGGUGAAUACGUUCCCGGGCCUUGUACACACCGCCCGUCAAGCCAUGGAAGCUGGGGGUGCCUGAAGUCGGUGACCGCAAGGAGCUGCCUAGGGUAAAACUAGUAACUAGGGCUAAGUCGUAACAAGGUAGCCGUA